GGUGUUGAAAGCCUUCCACAGGGAUGCUGGCCCAUGUUGACUCUACAAGGUGUUGAAAGCCUUCCACAGGGAUGCUGGCCCAUGUUGACUCUACAAGGUGUUGAAAGCCUUCCACAGGGAUGCUGGCCCAUGUUGACUCUACAAGGUGUUGAAAGCGUUCCACAGGGAUGCUGGCCCAUGUUGACUCUACAAGGUGUUGAAAGCCUUCCACAGGGAUGCUGGUCCAUGUUGACUCUACAAGGUGUUGAAAGCGUUCCACAGGGAUGCUGGUCCAUGUUGACUCUACAAGGUGUUGAAAGCGUUCCACAGGGAUGCUGGUCCAUGUUGACUCUACAAGGUGUUGAAAGCGUUCCACAGGGAUGCUGGUCCAUGUUGACUCUACAAGGUGUUGAAAGCCUUCCACAGGGAUGCUGGUCCAUGUUGACUCUACAAGGUGUCUAAAGCGUUCCACAGGGAUGCUGGUCCAUGUUGACUCUACAAGGUGUCUAAAGCGUUCCACAGGGAUGCUGGUCCAUGUUGACUCUACAAGGUGUCUAAAGCGUUCCACAGGGAUGCUGGCCCAUGUUGACUCUACAAGGUGUCUAAAGCGUUCCAC